rnacentral:lncRNA from 1 species
UAAUUCAUACAAGUAGUUAAAAGCACAAAGAGAGAUUUAAGUUCGUCAUAGAAAUACAAGUCAUCUGGCCAACUGCCUUUCCAACAUUACAGAACCUAUAUCAUGGUAUCAUCUACUGCUAUGUCAUUCUGAAGAAGCACAAAAUCUAACCGGCUGUCUUGCCAAUCAAUGGGUUUUUGAAACAAGAACUCACCAAGACAUGAAUGGGGUUUAUUUGAUUGUAUUUCCUCGUACAGCAUGAAGAUAAAAUAAUCCACCUGGCAAGACAAAAAACAAAAUACUUCAACCAAUGAAGUUUCACCAUGUUGUGUUGCAAGGAAAAAUGAACACACUAAUAUCACUACAGAUUUCAAUGUGCAGUGCUGUCAGCUGUGCCAUGUGUGUGUGUGUACACGCAUGCAUGCAUGUAUAAAGGGGAGAGAGAGAGAUUAGCACCUUCUUUCUUUUACUUGUUACAAAAUGCCAAAUAUGUAAACCAGAAUCUCAAAUAGGCAAGACUACCAAAAUAACCAUCUAGACUUGCAAUGAACAAUGAAAUAAGGGUAAAAGUUAUCUAUUAGCAAAAGCCAUGAGUUUUCAUACGUAGAAAAACAUGAACACAACAAGGCCAUGUAAGAAGGGAUAUAGGAUAACAAAGAAACUAACAAAACCCUGAACCAAAUGAUUAUCAAUGAGCAAGGGGUUAAAUGCUUAUUUAGUCACUGUACUAUAGGUCAACUUAUAAGUGAGUCACUAAACCGAUUUUUCUUACAGUCAACUCACUAUACUCGAUUUUACUAACAAAAAAUUAAAAAAACCGUUUAAGUCAAGCUUGACUUAACGGAAAUGGCGACGUGGCAGCUGAUUUGUCCAAAAUAAAGUCUAUGUGGCAGUUAGCAUGCGACGUGGCAGUUAUGAUGUGGAUUUGGAGGAAUUUUUUUAUGAAAAAAUGGAAAAAAAUAUUUUAAAGUAUAAUAUAAAUUAUAAAAAUUAGCAAAAAAACAAGAAAAUAAAAAAAUAAAAAAACUCCGUUUUUUAUUUAUUAAAAAAGCUUCGUUUUUUAUUUAUUAAAAAUAAAAAAACAAGAAAAUAAAUAAUAAAAAAAAAUUAUUAAAAAAGCUUCGUUUUUUAUUUAUUAAAAAAGCUUCGUUUUUAUUUAAUUAAAUAAAAAUGAAGUUUUUUAAUAAUUUUUAAUAAUAAAAAUUCAGUUUUUUUAAUAAAAAUAAUAAAAAACACAUUUUUUAAAAAAAAAUUCAGCUUUUUUUUUAAUAAAGAAAUUUCUGUUUUUUUAUUUUUUUUAAUAAAAAAUAAAAAAAGAUUAUUUUUAUUAAAAAAACGAAGCUUUUUUAAUAAUUCUUUUUUAUUAUUAAAAAAAUUAAAACGCAUUUUUUUAAUAAAAAUAAUCUUUUUUUUAUUUUUAUUAAAAAAAAUAAAAAAACAGAAAUUUCUUUAUUAAAAAAAAAGCUGAUUUUUUUUUAAAAAAUGUGUUUUUUAUUAAAAAAAAACUGAAUUUUUUUUAUUAUAAAAAAGCUGCAAUUUUUUAUAAUAAAUGCAUUUUUUUUAUUAAAAAAAAAUAAAAAUAUUAAUUUUAAAACUGUUAAAAAUAUUAAAAUCUCUUAAUUAAAUUUUUUUAAAAUUAAUCUGUUAAUUUUUUUUAUUUUAAAAAAACUGCGCUUUUUUAUUUUUAAUAAAAAAACUGCAUUUUUUUUAUUUUUAUUAAAAAAAUUGCAUUUUUAUUUUAAAAAAACUAUUACCUAUUUUUUUUAAUUUUUAUUAAAAAAACUGUAUUUUUUAAUAAAAAAAUGCAGUUUUUUAAAUUAAAAUAAAAAAAAUGCAGUUUUUUUUAAUAAAAAUAAAAAAAAUGCAAUUUUUUUAAUAAAAAUAAAAAAAUAUUUUUUAAAAAAAUUAACAGAUUAAUUUUAAAAUAUUUUUAAUUAAGAGAUUUUAAUAUUUUUUACAGUUUUAAAAUUAAUUUUUUUUAUUUAUUUUUAAUAAAAAUAAAAAAAUAUUUUUAAUAAAAAAAUGCAGCUUUUUUAUAAUAAAAAAAAUUCAGUUUUUUUUAAUAAAAAUAAUAAAAAACACAUUUUUUUUUAAAAAUCAGUUUUUUUUAAUAAAAAAAUUUCAGCUGCGUUUUUUUAUUUAAUUUUUAUAAAAAAACACUACGCUUUUUAAUUUUUAUUAAAAAUACUUAUUUUUAUUUAUUUAUUUAUUUUCUUAUUUUUUUUGCUAAUUUUUAUAAUUUAUAUUAUACUUUAAAAUAUUUUUUUUCAUUUUUUCAUAAAAAAUUUCCUCCAAAUCCACAUCAUAACUGCCACGUCGCAUGCUAACUGCCACAUAGACUUUAUUUUGGACAAAUCAGCUACCACGUCGCCAUUUUCGUUAAGUCAAACUUAACUUAAAGGUUUUUUUAAUUUUUUGUUAAUAAAAUCGAGUAUAGUGAGUUGACUGUAAGAAAAAUCGAUUUAGUGACUCACUUGUAAGUUGGCCUAUAAUACAAUGACUAAAUAAGCAUUUAACCCAAUGAGCAAGAAUAGAAUAAAUCAUUAAAGCGACUAAAGUAAUUUUUGUUUAAAAAGUUUCAAGCAUUGGCAUCAAGGUUUAGAAUCUAAAAAUUUAGGUAACCUUCAUUAUGAUAGUGAUGAAACUUGCACAAUUGUAAAUAUGAUUUAAAAUUUUAAUUUGGGGUUUAGUUGCAUAAUCAAUUGGCAAUAUUUUUUGAAUUCAAAAAAGAAUAUAUUGAAGUUGCUCAAUACAUUUAAAGUACAUUCAUAAAACAUUCUUGAUGUAAGGUCGUCAGGACCUUGAUGUUUUAAAGCACAUUCAUAGAACACCCUUGAUGGAACUAUGUAUUAAAAGAAGUGGAGUUUGUGGUAUCAAUUUCACUUUUCACCUCCAAAAGCAUUAAUGUAGGAGACACUUGUCCUGAGAAUAGGACUAGCCACUAAUUCAUCUCUCCACCGUUGGCCAUAUAUUUUAGAAAACCUUCCAUAUUUCCUCCCACAGGGCCACCUGCUAUGGUCAUUAGCAACAGUUUCCCUAAUCAACUCUCUAUCCUCAAUUUUGAAAAAUACAUCAACAAAUUUAUCCUUAUUUGACUCUCUAUUUUAAUCCAUAUAUAAAAUUUUACUCUCCAGUGUGAGGAAAUGAAAAGACCGCUCUCUAUAUAUACAAAAUAACAUUUCACACCCUCAUUUAAAUGGACAACUCGUCAAUCAUACACAUCUUUGACAUUUUUUUUACUACAUUUUCAAAUUAUAAACUUAAUAUUGAAUUUUAAAAAAAAUUAAUUUCAAACGUAUUCAAAUUUAAAAUUGAUAUAAAUUUAUUUAAUUUAUGUCAAUAUAAUUAUAAAUAUUAUAAAAGUACUAUUAAUUAUAAAUUUUAUUAUUUUCAAAAUUUAAAUGAAUCAUAUUAAAUUUUAAUUUAAAAAUAUCACAAAUUAACUUUUUAAAUUUUAAUAUUGAUCUUAUGUACAUUUGCAACUACAAUCUAUUCAAUACUUACUCCAUAAAUUACUUAAAAUUUAAAAUAAAAUAAAAAUUAUUUUACAGUGGGAUAUAAUUGAUAAAUAAUCUCUCUUUUAAUUAUAAAUUAUAAGAUUAUUAUUAAUUUAAUGUUUUGACUGUUGAAACUUUUAAAUUUUAAAUUUCAUUAUUUAAAGAAUCAAUAUAAGGAACAUGUUGGGUACAUAGUGAAAAAAUUGAAUCCCUAUUUUGCAGAAUGACAUAAUAACACUGCAAAGUAAGAAUACAAAUAAAGAAACUGUUGUAAAUGCUCUAAGAAGAAUUGUUUAGCCAGUAAAGGCUAUAUGCUUCAUGUCCAUAGCAAUUUGGUAAAUGUUGAUAGUAUGGUAGUUAGAAACUCUCAAUGCCAUUAUAACGAGAUGGUUCACCAAUAUCCAAAUUUCCAAAAUAUUUGCAUAACAAUAUAUUUGUAGUUUUUAGAUCCACUUUAUAGAUUACCCAUUAGUUAGUUAUAGCUCCACGCAAUGGACUAUAUGAUCAGAGAGGUAAGACAAGGGUCUUUAUGGCAGAUAUUUGCGCACAGACCUUACCUCACCUAUAGUAUUCUUAUGCCUAACUCUUUCAAAAGGAUCUUCAUUCUCAUAAACAUCAAAAACGUACCUAGCUCAAGCUCUAUCACAAUAGGUUAUAUCUACCACAGGAUUCUCCUGCAGUCUAUCACUACCCAAAAAUGUGAUGCAACCUCCAUAAAAAUAACACCCAUCCAUGUCAUUAGCAAUUGAAAAACUAUUAUCACUUACAUCCGGAACCAUUAACCAAUAAAUUUCAUUUCUGAUAUUCAGAGGCAAAUACCAAAACCGCACCACUCCCUGUUUAAGUUUUUUGCACCAAAACUGCACCGGCGAGAACAACGGUUCGGGUAAACACCGGCCAGUUCAAUGCGGUUCAACCAGUUUCGGAUUAAGUUGUGUUUAAAUUGUCAUCCCUUGAGGAUGGCAACAUGCAGAAUAAACUACAUGGUGGCUGAAUACUGUCGUAUUUCCCAACUACAUAUAAGACACUGCAGUUCGGGCUCGAGGAAAGAUAACCUAUUGAUAACCACUAAUGCAAAAUUUUGUGAAUCAUUUUACUGUUAGUUGGACAAUGGAAUCCUUAUACUGUUUACCAAGCCAAAUGACCUCAAAGAAAAUUAAUAAAAAAAAAUCAAUUACAAAAAUGUAAAACUCAGACACAAACAAUAAAUUAAUAUGCAGCACUUCCCUGGCCCCCUAAUUUGUUACCAAAUUUGAACAACACUGAUCCCAUAAAACGACCUUCCUUAAGAAAGGGUAGAUUCUGUUUUUUCAACUUAAAAUUUGACUUGUAAUAUGUUUUAAAUUUAAGAACAUCAAACUUUGAGAGCAGUAGAAUUUAGCUGCCAUUUAGGGGGCAUUUAGGGAGGGGGCUAAACUUAAUUUCUAUCCAAAACCCCUUCACUUUCCGGGUUUUACCACUUUUCCCAAAAAAAUAUUCAACUUCUCAAACAAUUAGUAAUACCCAUCUUAAAACUAAUAUAUUGCUCCAAAAUUUAGUCUCUUGAGGCUUUAAAAAAGGAACCCACCUGAUAUGAAUGGAAUGAGCAAAAGAUUUUAUUCCUUCAAUAAGAAAUAAAGCUCUAAUUCCCAACUUCCACCGUCUAUAGACGGCAUCAAAUAAAAUAAGCAUAUUCAAGUUCAUGAUACACGAAGGGAAAGUAACAUCACAUAAAGUAGAGGAACCAGCAGACCAACAGAACCAGCAGACCAGCAGCCACGACGAGCAACCACCGAAAAAAGAGGGAUUUUUAAAUAACAAACCCUAGAUUUUCAAAUGCAUGAAAAAUAAUUUACAAACCCAAUUAAGUUAUGGAGCUUUACCUUCCGAUCCGUUUGACUCUGCUUCGCGGAGACCUUCCGAUGAGCUCUUCCGUCUGCUACUUUAUCUUGUGAGAGAGGGAAGAAAGAAGGUGGAGAGAGAAAGUAGUAUCAGUGAUCUGAGCUCUGGUUUUAGACUAAAGAAUGAAACACGCGUGUUUUUUCUCCAUCUUGACCCGUACGCUCAACCCGCGUGGUUUUUUACCCAAUUCGUCAUUAGUCCGUCAGUUUAGUUCGCUGGAGAAGGAUGUUGUAUAAAUAUAUAGAGAGAGGCGAUCAUUUAGAGAGAGGAGAGAGAUCUAGAGAGUGGUGGCGGCAAUGCAGGGAGAGAUUGGCGGCGAAAAUGGGAAGCAGAACUCUCUCCGAUGUCGUCCGUCGUAUGUUUCAGCGUCGAUAUUCCGCCACCACCGUUAGCCGAAGUAGAAGAAGAAACGACACCGUUAAACAGGAUAAAAAAGAAGGAUCAGAAUUUCACAUUUCUGGUCUAAAGCUCAUCCAAGUUCCUGAAAGAACAAUUUUCAAACUCGUCUCCACCGACACUCAUAAAUUGGUCCGAAAGUCAAUUCUCUCUCCUCUGUAUAAACUGUUCGGUGGAGAUAAGAAGAUAAGGCUCGCGUUUUUAGACGACGUGACCUCAUCAUUUUUUCUAUCAUUUUUUUAUUUCUUAAACUAUAUAUACACAUAUUUAUAUAUAAUGACUUAAUUCCUGUAUCAUUCAAUUCAAUCUUAAACUAUGUUAACUCUCAUUAUUAUCUAGCUGUAAUCACUUAAUUAGACUGAGUAUGCCCCCCAUUAUUUAGAUAGAUAUUUGACUUGAUCUGAGAUAUGUUACACUAUAUAGAGAAUAUAGAAUAUAGAACAUAGAUAGAACAUAGACCAUAAACCAGAACAUCGAAUAUAGAAUAUAUAGAUGUGUAUGUGCAUAUGUAUUCAAACUUAGAUUUUGAUUGGCUGGUUGCUGUUCUUCUUGCUUUGAUCUCUGAAAGCGUUUGGGGAGGACUAACCUCAAACGGUUUCGUUUUCCCUGCAAAUUGUUUUCAAAGAGCAAGAAGAUAUCUUUCUUAAUUUUGUUUGGAUUGAACGUUCAAGUUCUUAAUGGGUGUGCAAGUUUUUCAUUGUUUUAGCCUAAUUUCAUCAUAGUUACUCAUCACAGAUCAUCUAAAUUGUGUACAAACUUUCCCACUGCUCAGUUUUAGUUUUAACCAAGUAUUAGCAUACUGUUAGUACAUUUGUUAGCCUAGCUUCCUUGUGUACUCAUUUACUCCAUUAAUCCUUGCUAAGCCAAGUGCUAGUCAGGUUUAAACUCCAUUGAAACUCGAGCCCACAAAUUGUUCUCGUGUAAGGAUCAAUUCACACCACCAAAAAACACUCUAGCUCAUUUACUAAGAAUAUCAAGUAGUGUCACUACUGGAUAAAGUUUGCAAUUCUAAUUCUCAAUAAUUCUAGGAAUUCCUUCUACACAUACAAAUAGUAGUGAUGGCUUGGCAAAAAAAAAAUUAAUGAAAAUAAGAGAUUAAUCAGAAAGCCAAAUCGGAUUAAUGAAAAUAAAAGAUUAAUGAAAAUAAGAGAUUCCUUCUAUACAUACCUAGUCCAGGUUCCCAAAAAAAAUUAAUGAAAGCCAAAUCGGAACCAAGGAAGAGAUUCAGAAUGACCAAAAAUAAGAGACGCGUCAUUAAAAAAUAUUUUCAAAUAGCAAUUAACAAAAUUUCUGUUGCUAUAUACUCUCGAGGAAAAUCAAGUCAGAUUUACUUAUAAAAAAAUCAAAUCAAAUCAUAUUUAUGAAGUGUUCAAUUCAAAACUCAAAAUUAAGAAAACAACAGACAUAUAGAAUAUAACAUGAAUAAAUCGAUCUAUGUAAUACAGUUAGGAUGCAUGGGAUCGAUAAUUGAAAGAGAGAUAGAAGACGAACUUGCUUACUCUACUUUUGAGGGGCAAAAAUUAGGGCAAGCCGUCGCGACGGAUUUGGGGCAAAAAUUAGGGCAAUCCAUGGUUUUGAGAUUUGGGGCAAGUGAACGCCUAAGAUCGUGAGAAGCGAGGGAAAGAGAGAUCGGGAGAGCGAGAGAGGAGAGCUUGGGGUGAUAAAUCGUGAGAAGCUGAAGAUCGGAAGAGCGAGAGAGGAGAGCUUGGGGUGAGCGAGAUAGAUUUCAGAAGGAAAUGACUGAACAGGAGCCCAACCCCAAGUUCGUGUAAAUGUGAGGAGAGAAAAAAAGAAAUACUGUAGGUUUUUAUAGGU